rnacentral:rRNA from 1 species
UGGAGACAUUCUCUGUUGGAUUGCCAUAUGUCACGGUGUGUUCGGGCUUUGGCCGAUGAGGAAUCGACAGAAGUGAUGAUCUCCAACAGAUCCGAGGAUGCUCGAUUAUGGUUGUUCUGGCUUCUGUAUACUUUAGCAGAGCAGCAAGUUAUUCAUAUUUUGAUCACCAUGUGGGCCAUAUGGUGGGCGCGACGCCGUGCUAUCCACGAUGAGCAGUUCCAAAGUCCCCUGAGCACUUCGGUUUUUGUUAAGAAUUUUCUGGUGGAGCUUGAUUGUAUGGCGGUGAACAAGUCACAUCUAAAGGACUUGCAUGCGAAGCCAAGGGAUAUGCAUGUAACAAGGGAGAAUCCAAGGACCAGAAUGUCACCACCAGUUUGGCUACCCCCAACCGACGAAGAAGCAAAGCUAAAUGCAGAUGGGGCCGUGUCCAGAUCUGGUAACAGAGGCGCAACAGCUGUGGUAUGCCGUGACAGAGCG